rnacentral:lncRNA from 1 species
GCGAGCCUGCAGAGAGAAAGGGAGGGGAUGGGGGGGAGGGCUCCGAGUGGCACCAAAGCUGUUUGUGGCACAGUGUUGACUGUGGAAAAAACCGGCAUUGUCGUGCCGGCUGAAACUUUUUCUCCCCCUUCCCCAAGGCUGUCAUUAUAAAUCUGCCCCCUAUUCCCCGUUAAAAAAAAAAAAAAGGCAGGCACAAAGAACAUUCCUGCCAAAUCUGCCUCUUCCCUGAAGGACUGCAAGCUUCCAAAUGCCAACGAGGGAGAAACAGCUGAGAGGCUGAACGCCUUAUAAAUAAGUAAACCCACCCUAACCUCUCUGUUUACUUCGUGGACUAGACACAGCACUAUAACCUUCCCUCACCUGCCAUCUUCGCUAAAAUAUUUACAAAAAUACGGAAAAAAAAUCCCUGGGGGCGGGGCUGGCGGGUUAGGGGGUGGCUGAAGCAUGGAAUCUGGUUUUGAUUUAAAAAGAGGAAUAAAUCUCUUAUUCUCUGCAGACCGUAAUCUCUUCCCUCUCACCCCGCAUUUAAGACCAAUUAAGGCUACAAAUUGUAAUCUGCUGGCAAGUCACGGUUUUGAGACCUCUUUGCUCCAAUUUUCCUUGAAAUACAGUACUUUGGCCGGACCAGUAGAAAAUCAUACAAUAGCAAAUGUGGUUGGAGGGUAAAAGGACUCCAGGAGGCUGCACAGAGUGCUAUAUUCACACGAAGCUUUUCUUUUUGGACUUUGAUGAGUCAUAAUGUGUUCUCUGAAGUUGCUUUUCUCUUUCUAGUUUGGUAUCAAAAGAUAGAAGUCACUUUUUCAUGUCUGUAUGGCCACGUUCACUUGUUAUGUAAGUCUGCUUUGGUUGGCAUUCUGUAUAGAGUAGAUGUUGGGUUUAAAACUUGAUAUCUGGAUACAACACCCUCAUAAAGAAUAAUUCCAUGCACAACGUUAGGAAGCUUCUAGUCCCAACAGACAAACUGCUAAUGCUGCCUGAAAUGUUGCCUAGCUUCAAACACAAGCAGGUAAGGCCAUUUAGGCAGUGAGCCUUUCAUCUUCAGUAAUGGAAACCAAGCUUUGACAAAUUGAAUCAGCUGACAUUUAAUGUAAAGAAUAGUUUAGAAUUAGCAAGUAAAUUUAUUACAGAAAUCAACACUCCUCUCUCUCCUUUUUUUCUUUUUUUUCUUUUUGAGUCAGAGUCUCCCUCUGCUGCCCAGGCUGGAGUGCAGUGGCAGGAUCUUGACUCACUGCAACCUCCGCCUCCCAGGUUCAAGGGAAUCUCGAACCUCAGCUUCCCGAUUAGCUGGGAUUACAGGUGCCCACCACCACACCCAGCUAAUUUUUGUAUUUUUUGUAGAGACAGCGUUUCACCAUGUUGGCCAGGCUGAUCUGGAACUCCUGACCUCAAGUGAUCUACCUGCCUCUGCCUCCCGAAGUGCUAGGAUUACAGGUGUGAGCCACCACACCCCGCUCUCUCUUUUUUUCUAAUGGGCAUGUUCAAUAAAUCAUGUUUUUCACAAUCA